UACGGAGGGUGCAAGCGUUAUCCGGAUUUACUGGGUUUAAAGGGUGCGUAGGUGGGUAGGUAAGUCAGUGGUGAAAUCUCCGGGCUUAACCCGGAAACUGCCAUUGAUACUAUUUAUCUUGAAUACUUUGGAGGGUAAGCGGAAUAUGUCAGUGUAGCGGUGAAAUGCUUAGAUAUGACAUAGAACACCAAUUGCGAAGGCAGCUUA
rnacentral:rRNA from 1 species